rnacentral:rRNA from 1 species
AGCGAACGCUGGCGGCAGGCCUAACACAUGCAAGUCGAACGAACUCUUCGGAGUUAGUGGCGGACGGGUGCAUAACACGUGGGAACGUGCCUUUUGGUUCGGAAUAACUCAGGGAAACUUGUGCUAAUACCGAAUGUGCCCUUCGGGGGAAAGAUUUAUCGCCAUUAGAGCGGCCCGCGUCUGAUUAGCUAGUUGGUGAGGUAACGGCUCACCAAGGCGACGAUCAGUAGCUGGUCUGAGAGGAUGACCAGCCACACUGGGACUGAGACACGGCCCAGACUGCUACGGGAGGCAGCAGUGGGGAAUCUUGCGCAAUGGGCGAAAGCCUGACGCAGCCAUGCCGCGUGAAUGAUGAAGGUCUUAGGAUUGUAAAAUUCUUUCACCGGGGACGAUAAUGACGGUACCCGGAGAAGAAGCCCCGGCUAACUUCGUG